rnacentral:lncRNA from 1 species
GGUAAAUGGUUUCUGGUAACUGGUAUUUUUUGUUGAAUUGUUUCUUUCUUUGUUUCUAUGUCUUUCUGUCAUUAUUAUUGUCACAACUUACAAUUGGCUACAUUACAGAUAUACAGCAAACGUAAAGAAUUUAGAAACCCAUCGACUCAUCCCAGGGACAAAAGUUGUUAUCACAAAGAAUGUGAUAGCAUAUAAGAUUGAUCGUUCAUUCUGGGUUUAUAAUUUUGCCAUUCAAUAAGAAAAUGACCUAUUGAAGAAGCUUAACAAACCUCUCUCUGCACAUUGCAGGUGAAUCUUGGGUUUUUAUUAUAAAAAAAUUUAUUACAGGUUUUGUCUAGACAGACACAUCACGUGAAAGAGUCUUCUACCACCGUGAAAUAAUAGCUGUAUGGUGGGUCUCAAAAUGGAGAAGGUGGCAACUCAGAAAUCCCAUGCUCUUGUCUCCCUCCGUCCCUCUGUCAUCUUUCAUUGGUUCUUCGGUCAAAGUAACAGGAUUAAAAAGUACAAGGAAGAAGUUGGCGACAACUGGCUUUCAUAAAAAUAAAUAAAAAAAUUAUAUUACAUUCAUCGUCGGAUGGGGAUCCAACGGUGGAAUAAUGGGAUCUAAGCAAAAGAAGCAAAAAAAAAGGAAUGCCUGUUUUGUCAGACACAACUUUAAUCCUGUUUGUUUCUCACCUUCCCUUCCUCCAAUGGUCGAGAUUACUCCAUCCAUUAUUAAUACUCUCAUCAGUCAUAUGAUUGUAACCACCCACAAGGCCAUAAUCCCACAUUCCCACAUCCCACGGUUUUAAAAUCAUCAUCAUCAAUUUAUAUUAUUAUUAAUUUAGAGUUAGGGUUCUCAAUGUGGUUACGAUAAUUA